UACGUAGGGGGCUAGCGUUGUCCGGAAUCAUUGGGCGUAAAGCGCGCGUAGGCGGCCAGAUAAGUCCGGUGUGAAAGUCAAAGGCUCAACCUUUGAAUGCCGCUGGAAACUGUCUGGCUAGAGUCCGGAAGGGGCGAGUGGAACUCCUGGUGUAGCGGUGAAAUGCGCAGAUAUCGGGAGGAACACCAAUGGCGAAGGCAGCUUGCUGGGACGGUACUGACGCUGAGACGCGAAAGCGUGGGGAGCAAACAGG
rnacentral:rRNA from 1 species